rnacentral:misc_RNA from 1 species
UUUCCGUAGGAGAACCUGCGGAAGGAUCAUUAUCAUGUAAUUCAGUCCCCUUGGCUGUGUUAUAUAUAUACCCACUCUGUGUACCUUCUCCUGUUGCUUCCGCUGGGUGUGUAAUUCGCCCGGCGGAAGGGUAAAAAUAACCUCUGAGUAUUGAUGAAAUCUCUGUCUGAACCGAAUAGAAAGAAAAUGUUAAAACUUUCAGCAACGGAUCUCUUGGUUCUC